ACCUUGACCAUGGAAGGAAGUAGAUUUAUUUAAUUAUUAUUUAUUUUUAAACUUGUAAGCAACAUUUAUUUAUCUUAAAAUGUAAGAUUUGCUGUUAAGGGUGCCUUCAAUGUUUACAACAGACAUUUUGUAAAACCUUGCUUCCCCCUGUCUGUGUUUGAGAUUAAAAACAAAUUAGGACAAAAAAAGGGUUAAUCUAUCUCUGACAGAAUGACAACACUCAAAAACAUAAACUUUAACGAGUAUUAGAUUUAGAGUUACUGUCCCUUUUAAACAUUAAUUUCCACCAGUAAAGUACAAG
rnacentral:misc_RNA from 1 species